AAAUCUUAACGGCAGAGGCUGCCGAAAAGAGUGCAUUUGCAGCUACGAAGUUAAAAUCUCACUGUAACGGUACUAAGAGCAAGUAGAAAGCUGUAAGAUGGCUGUAAAAAGGGCAGCAGCGCUCACAGCGAACAGAAAACCAUUCUGUUCCUUAGGCACUAACAAAAAAUGCAAAUCGAAUGUGUAAAAAGUACUUACCGCCUUUGAGAACGAAACGCUGUGAGGAAACAAAACAAACAAGAAAACGGAAAUGAAAACAAAAAUAAAUAAAAAGAUGAAUGAAAAAUAUUACUUUGUGCGCGCGCUUACAGCAACGUAACGCGGCAGAACAGCGCAUGAGAAAUAACUGAAUGCUGUGCUCGCAUAGCGAGAGAGCGCGUAAGAGCGCCAGAUUUUAAAAUUUACAAAAAUAUAUAUAUUUUUCCGAUUCUGCUGCGGCGCGGGCGUGUGAGGCAAAGUGGAGCCGAGAACCCCACAACAGCAGCGUCACUGUAGUGUAGUAGCAAGAGCAUGCUAAACGCUUGCUGUUAUUGUUGUUGUUAGCUGUUGGCUAAAUGCGAGCAAUUGUUGUUUUGUUGAGUCGAAGAAUUUUUUCACUACGUUUGCGAGGUACGCGCUGGUGGGAAAGGGGGAGAGGCGGCGCUUUUACACGUUUGCAUGUGUGUGCGUGUAAGUAGUUGUUUUUGCUAAAGCAGCUGUGGCAAUAUGCGUUGACAUAUUUGUAUAAAAAUAUAUACAUAUAUGUAUGUAUAUUUACAUACUUCGCCUGCUGCUGGUACUUUUUAGCAUUUUGUUUGCUUUUUUUCGAUUUUUGGUUUUGUUUUUGUUUGUCGUUUGUUUUUUGUUUUUGCUUUUAUACUGUUAACUUAACUAAAAGCAAGCAGCCUUCUCCUCGACGAAAGGCGAAAAUCCAUACAAACUUAUUAGUGACCCUACACACCUAUCUAAAUACACACACACACACACAAACGCUCGCGUACUUAUAGAAUAAGUUUCGUGGCGCUCACACUGUGUGCUGGUCGCUCGCGCUCUACUCGCUGCCAAUUUUAGUGCGCAUUUAGCAGUCAAGGCGAAAUGUUAUGGAAAAAUCGAAACAAUUGAAACGCCAAUAGGCGACAAAUCCGCGACGCGUUUAGCAGCAACUAAAGUGUAAAUGUGUAAAUAAAAUACAAAAAAAUAAAAACAAAUUUCGUUAACAACAACAAAAGUUUGCUACAACAAAGCAAAAAAUAGUGUUAUUGUGUUUUAAAAGUACAACAACAAGCAAGUGUGUCUUAUUUGGUGCUUGUUUUGGAAAAAUUCUACUACGACGUUUGGGGCUGCUUGACAGACAAAACGUCAGUGGCUGCUAACUGUAAGUGUUGUGCAAAAACAAAAGUGUGAAAUAAUAAUUUCGAUAUAGCAGAGCCUACAAAUGGUAAAAGUGUAAUAAGAACAAGCAGCAGUAUUCCAAUCAGCGCUGCAAUACUUAUUUGCAACAACAACAAGCUAGCAAAUAAUAAUAAAGAAAACACAAGUGUGCUGAAGCGAAAAGUGCAAAUAAAUUUCGCAAGAAAAUAAUCCGGAAAAUAUUAACAAAAUAAGGCAAACAGUGGAAAGAUCUAUGCUCAAGAAAGAAGCACAGAGAACCACAAAAUCAACAGAAUAGCAAGUGCUUAAACCAAAUGUAAACACAGCAGCGCGGCCGUCAAGUGAAAAGUGCUCCGAAUCUUUCAAGUUUUGAAAAUUAAUGGAAUAAUUUCGCUUGCUUAUUAUUGUGUGUGCAAAAUACAUACUAUAUGUAUGUAUAUUUGAUAAUUGCAAAAAUAACUGCUGGCUGUGCGCAGAGCGGCAACAACACAAAUAACUUUACAACUGGCAGUGUUUAAUGAGCUUGUCAUUCGCAUGUCAAUUGCGUGAAAUUUGUAUUUAUUUUUCAUUUAGCGAAAAUGGCAAAGCUCGAGCGCUACGAAAAUUUGCAGUUUUAUUUGAAAUAAAAAAAAAUCACCUUGCCUAUUUUCAACGAUUUGCUUUCGAAAGCUUCAUAAGCCUGCGAUUCAGCGUUGAAGUCUUGAAAAAGCAUGCUAUUUACAACUUAUAUGACUAUAGGUAUGUACCGAACUUUUUAUUGCUUUCAAUAAUUUCCAUAAGUAAAAUGUUGUUGAAAAUAGCGUAUUGCCACAAAAACAACUCAUUAUCCGCCCUAGGCAUAGCGGUAAGUGUCUUUAAAAGUACUUAACACGCCGCCAACCGCCGCUCGUUAAGCCCAUUAAUUUUGAUUAUUUAAGACGCAAUAUAUUUCUUGACUCAUUCUGUCGGUGUGCGAUUGUACAUGUACUCGAAAUUCAACUUAGUAUUUCGCCUUUAGUCUGGCAGCACUCUACAAACACACGCACUCGUAAGCACGUUUGCCACAAACAAACGCUCGCACGAGCAAUUCCCCUCACAGCAAUUCAACAUGACUUGUCCCCAGUGAUGCACGGCGGGGUCAUGUGAACUGAGGCAAAGAAAAUAUUGCAAGGACGUGCAAAAGAGUAGCUAUAACGGGGAAAAAGAAAAGCUGUGAGCUAGCAGCAAGCGUAUAGGUUCUUUAUGUAUAUAUGUAUAUACUUUGUAGACAGCAAGUGAGGUUAGUUGGUAAACUCGUAGGUGAGAUCAUGAAAGGCACUCGUAGUCAUGCAGUAGAUAUUAUUGUAAGUCUACUGACCGUAAUGGAGUUGCAAUUUCGUUUUGAGUUAGAAAAUAAAGCUAAAAAAUACGAGUUAAACAACUUGAGAGUUUGCUACCAAACGGAAGGAAAGCCAACAAAGGGAAAGCAAAUAUAUGCUAACGUUUCCUGUUUGUAUUUGCAGAUAGUCAUAUCCUGUGUUAUGCAAUUUUAUCUUACAAAAUUUUAUAGCGGCAAAGAGGUCCUUGUGGAAUCGGCAAAUAGCCUGAUUUGUAUUUGUAUUGUAUUCUAACCGAAAGAGAAUUUAAGAACAUGUUUUGUAAGCUUUUAGUCUAUCUUGUACAACUGCGAGCUCGAGUCUCAGAAAAGUUUCUGAACCUGAGCUGGGUGAAGUACAGUUAAAGCUUUACAGUUCAGCUUGCCUGAUGUUUAUGUUUGAGACCCUUGUAGUACACCGCACAACUCGAUUGGUGUUUAAGUCUGAGACUGGACCUGUUAUGACUCCGGCAGCCAAAUCUGUAUGUAGAAAUAUAAUCUCGUUUGAAAGGUUGUCUAAAGUGAGCCAUUUAGGCUUUGUUAGCUCUGUACUUUUUUUGCCUUAGGAGAAUGAAUUCAUGCCGACCAUUCGCAGGCUUACUAAUACCUAAUUUGUUUUUAGUAGUUUGAAUAUUUUCUUGCUGAGCUUCAAAGGCUUCACUAUAUAAAAUGGUAAUGAAAGCAACUUGUUUUACAGUGUGUUCCAUCGCAAACGUUUCGGAUCCAAGCUUCAUUUUAGUAGAUAUUUUCACCAAAAUAAGCACUGAAUGCCAUAGCUUUCUUAAAAAAGUUCACUGAUUCACUAGAGGUCUCUGAUCCAAUGUGAUUUUAGAUUCUUAGUCGAAGAGCAAAUCUUCAUUUAUCAUAAGUCUUGACACUUUGCAACCUCCCGAUCGUUCCAAUAUAAUUAUUAAUUUUACCGCUGUAAAUUUCAAAGGCUUUUAGGAAAA